rnacentral:lncRNA from 1 species
CCCUAAACCCUAAACCCUAAACCCUAAACCCUAAACCCUAAACCCUCAACCCUAAACCCUAAACCCUAAAUCCAGAUGGUCGGUCGAUGCUGAAACCACGCCGAGCCUGCGAUAAUUGUGGUUUCGGCCACGCCGCGCUCGGUGUGCGAGAAAACACUCGCGAACGAAUCUCGAUCGAUCGUCAAUCGUUCGCCUCCUCCGCACCUGACGACCGAACGAACGACGACGCGCGGGAGAGAACGCAGGAAAGAGACCUGCGCGGUCGCGGAGGAGCGAGCGAGGGACGCGAAGCGCAUCGAAACGACAUGGUCUACUACUAGAGCUACUCGCACACGCACCCGCCGCGCCGUCACCAGCUGAGCGAGGCAGGGCGAAGAAAAACAAAAGACGCGCCGCGCCGCGCACCGUCGCCUCGCGACUACGCCCCCUCUUCUACCUCCCCAGCUAUCCACUGCAGCACAUGCGGGUGGUCAUACGCGGCGUCUUCGCAAUCCUUCGGAUUCCACGGCGCGCCGUUCGCGCGCGCCCACUGAAGCACCUCCAGGUGGCCGCCGCUCGCGGCAAGGCGGCAAGGCGCCUCGCUCCACGGACAUCCGUUCGCUCGCGCCCACUNNNNN